rnacentral:misc_RNA from 1 species
UCAUAAUCCACGGCCACUUUUCGACAAAAAGGUUUCAUUCCCCCACUUGGAGUACCUGCAAGUAUUCUCUAUAGGUGAUGAGAAGGAACUCUUAGGAGUUCCUUCAAACUCGUCAAUGAGCUCAACAAUGGUUAAAAGAGGUUGCCAGGAUUUGAAAUAUUUAUUUACAACUUCAUUUGUCGAAGGCAUUUUGCGAUUCAAGGGACUCUGGAUAGAAGAUUGUAAGUUCACGGAAGGGAUAGUCUUCACAGAAGAAUUUGCAAAAGAAGAGAGGAUGAAUGAGAUAAUCUUCUCUAAUCUAGAUGAAUUGACUCUGCAAAAUCUUCCAUAUCUCACAAGUUUCUGUGAUGGGCAUUCAAUUGAAUUUUGCUCUUUGACCAAACUAUAUAUAUAUAUAUAAUUGCCCUGCAUUUAAGACUUUCGUCUCCAAUCCUAAGUCCAUCUCUUUUUGAUGAAAAGUUCAGUUUUUUCAUCAUUAAUUUGCAUUUUUUUUCUUCUCAUUUAGACACAUAUUAUGUUUGGAGAGUUGAUAUAUUGUCUUAGAAUUAUACCUUGUCUUUAAUUUGCUUGUCUUGCUGAUUGUUUAUAGAAAUUUUCACGGAGUGGCACAUUAUUUCUAAUAAAUUGGGAACAAAAUUGCAGGUUGCAUUCCCUAGCUUGGAGGAUUUGACAAUACAUACAAUGAGUAACUUGGAAAGUAUAUG